GCGCAAGCGGUGGUUCUGGGCGCUCGGGUAUCUGGUGGUUGCUAGGGUGACCGGAAUACAAUAUGGCGGUGGGAUCGUAACGCUCUCCCGCCAGGGCCCAGCGCGCAGGUCCUCGAGUCCACGCCGCCUAGGGAAGUACCAGGCCCCGCCGCUUCGGCCCCACCGAGCCGGCUGUGCCGCCAUCCGUGAGGAUGAAGAACUAUAAAGCAGUUGGCAAAAUAGGAGAGGGAACAUUUUCUGAAGUUAUGAAGAUGCAGAGCCUGAGAGAUGGAAACUACUAUGCGUGCAAACGAAUGAAACUCCAUUUUGAAAGCAUUGAGCAAGUCAACAGUCUCCGUGAGAUACAAGCCCUGAGGCGCCUGAACCCACACCCCAACAUUCUUACCUUGCAUGAAGUGGUUUUUGACAGAAAAUCUGGUUCUCUUGCACUAAUAUGUGAACUUAUGGACAUGAAUAUUUAUGAGCUAAUACGAGGGAGAAGACACCCAUUAUCAGAAAAAAAAAUUAUGCACUACAUGUACCAGUUAUGCAAAUCCCUCGACCACAUGCACAGAAAUGGAAUAUUUCACAGAGACGUAAAACCGGAAAAUAUUCUAGUAAAGCAGGACGUCCUGAAAUUAGGGGACUUCGGGUCCUGCCGGAGUGUUUAUUCCAAGCAGCCCUACACAGAGUAUAUCUCCACCCGCUGGUACCGGGCCCCAGAAUGUCUCCUCACUGAUGGGUUCUACACGUACAAAAUGGACCUCUGGAGCGCUGGCUGCGUGUUCUAUGAGAUUGCCAGCCUGCAGCCCCUUUUCCCUGGUGUGAAUGAACUGGACCAGAUCGCAAAAAUCCAUGAUGUCAUCGGUACACCUUGUCAGAAGACCCUCAACAAGUUCAAACAGUCGAGAGCUAUGAGUUUUGAUUUUCCUUUUAAAAAGGGAUCAGGAAUACCUCUACUGACAACCAAUUUGUCCCCGCAAUGCCUCUCGCUCCUGCAUGCAAUGGUGGCCUAUGACCCUGACGAGCGAAUUGCAGCCCACCAAGCCUUGCAGCACCCUUACUUCCAGGCACAGAGUAGGGCGACUGAGACGCAGGCCCCCGCCAACCGCAGAACUCACUUCCCCCAGAAGCCCGUGGCACCAGAGCCACUAGGUCACAACUGGUUGUUCUCAAAGGAUGGCAGAGCGCAGCAGCAGCCCCUGAGGCAAGAGGAGGACAAUGCCGGAAGACAAGGCCCGGCCAGCUUGAUGAAGCUGCCGAAACUGAGGCUUUCAGGAAUGACCAGACUGCCAUCAUGUUCCGGCCCCAUGCUGCGGUCGGUGUUGGGUGCUGGAACAAAUGGAAGAGUCCCAGUGUUGAGACCCCCCAAGUGUGCAGGUGUGAACAAGAAGACAGACACUCAGAAGGUCAUCAAACCUAACCUGAAACAGUACCAUCUGCCCACGAUCAACAGGAAAGGGGGUGAAUACUGAGCAGCAUGCCAGCAGGUCACUCUUGGAGAGGGAGAAGGUGCCAUGUGCAGGCCCAGGCCUCUGUGGCUAAGAGUGGAUGAGCCAGAGGAUGCCCUGCGCUGACACACCCACAGUACCUGGUAGCCCAGGACGAGCCGCCUCGGAGCCUACCUGCACCCACGGCCUGGAGCCACGUGUGUUUGCAACCAGCCCCACAGCAACUGUACCUGGGAAAGCAACCCUCGUGAGGUGGCCUUUACCGGGCCACACCUGAAUGCAGUGAGUGUGCUGUAUGGACAGCUAGAGCCCAGCUGGACACCACAUCUAUACUGCCCCUUCUUUCCAGCUUCCUUUAGAACCAGACCCCACGUGUGGAGCAGUGCUCACCCAUAGAACCAGCCCCAAGAGACUGACUUAAAAAUGGAAACAACUCUUUGGGUGAGCGCUCCGCACAGCCCCCAGGCCACCCCGCCCGAGGCCACCCGAGGCCUGCCCCGCAUGUGGCUCCAGUGCAGCUCAUGGCUCCAUCGUCG